GGAGUGUAUAUUGGAAAACAACAGUAGAAAGUAGAGUCUAGUCAGUGAGUGUGCUCACACCAGUAGCGUAGCAUCGCCUUUAAGAAGCAUCCCAGCACACGGCUAAGCUUUACAGCCUAUUUUGUCAUGCUGUUGCAGAUGAAACGGAUCAAUUGCCAGAAAUAGGAUGCAGCAGACAGGAAGAACGGCGUGAAAAAGCAGAAACUACCCGUUCGAUUUUCAAGCAAAGAUUACUGCAGUGUUCACCAGAGCUUUGAGAGACUUACCAUCCGGGCCAUGCAUGAGGCCACACUCACCCAGUCAGCCUGACAGGGG